rnacentral:tRNA from 1 species
GGAGCCGUGCCCGAAUGCCUAGGGACCACUUUGAUAGAGUGAUAAACGGGGGCUAAAAUCCCUCCGACUCCU